AUUUUAUUGAGAGUUUGAUCCUGGCUCAGGAUUAACGCUGGCGGCAUGCCUAAUACAUGCAAGUCGAACGAAAGUAGCAAUACUUUAGUGGCGAACGGGUGAGUAACACGUAUCUAACCUACCAUUUAGUGGGGAAUAACUGUUGGAAACGACAGCUAAUACUGCAUAUGUUAUUUAUUUGCAAUGAUAAAUAAUGAAAGGAGCAUUUGCUUCGCUAAUUAAUGGGGAUGCGGCGCAUUAACUAGUUGGUAAGGUAAUGGCUUACCAAGGUAACGAUGCGUAGCCGAUCUGAGAAGAUGAACGGCCACAUUGGGACUGAGACACGGCCCAAACUUCUACGGAAGGCAGCAGUAGGGAAUUUUUCACAAUGGGCGAAAGCCUGAUGGAGCAAUGCCGCGUGACUGAUGAAAGUCUUCGGAUUGUAAAAGUCUGUUGUAAGGGAAGAAGUGCUAGAAUAGGAAAUGAUUUUAGUAUCGACCAUACCUUAUCAGAAAGCCACGGCUAACUAUGUGCCAGCAGCCGCGGUAAUACAUAGGUGGCAAGCGUUAUCCGGAUUUAUUGGGCGUAAAGCGUGCGUAGACGGUUUUGCAAGUCUGAGGUUAAAUUUAGGGGCUCAACCCCUAACCGCCUUGGAAACUACAUUACUAGAGUAUAGGAGAGGUUAGUGGAAUUUCAUGUGUAGCGGUGGAAUGCCUAGAUAUAUGAAGGAACACCAGUGGCGAAGGCGGCUAACUGGCCUAUUACUGACGUUGUGGCACGAAAGCGUGGGGAGCAAAUAGGAUUAGAUACCCUAGUAGUCCACGCCGUAAACGAUGAGUACUAAGUAUUGCCAUGAGGCAGUGCUGUAGCUAACGCAUUAAGUACUCCGCCUGAGUAGUAUGCUCGCAAGAGUGAAACUCAAAGGAAUUGACGGGGACCCGCACAAGCGGUGGAGCAUGUGGUUUAAUUCGAAGCAACGCGAAGGACCUUACCAGGUCUUGACAUACCUUGCGAAGCUAUAGAGAUAUAGUAGAGGUUAACAAGGAUACAGGUGGUGCAUGGUUGUCGUCAGUUCGUGUCGUGAGAUGUUUGGUUAAGUUCAGCAACGAACGCAACCCUUGUCCUUAGUUGCCAGCAUUAAGUUGGGGACUCUAAGGAGACUGCUAGUGUAAGCUAGAGGAAGGUGGGGACGACGUCAAAUCAUCAUGCCCCUUAUGACCUGGGCUACACACGUGCUACAAUGGCUGAUACAAAGAGUCGUUAAACCGCGAGGUCAAGCAAAUCUCAAAAAGUCAGUCUCAGUCCGGAUUGAAGUCUGCAACUCGACUUCAUGAAGUCGGAAUCGCUAGUAAUCGCGAAUCAGCAAUGUCGCGGUGAAUACGUUCUCGGGUCUUGUACACACCGCCCGUCAAACCACGAGAGUUGGCAAUGCCAGAAGUCGGUGUCCUAACCGUAAGGAGGGAGCUGCCAAAGGCAGGGUUGAUGAUUGGGGUUAAGUCGUAACAAGGUAUCCCUACCGGAAGGUGGGGAUGGAUCACCUCCUUUCUAUGGAG
rnacentral:rRNA from 1 species